rnacentral:rRNA from 1 species
UACGGAGGGGGCUAGCGUUAUUCGGAAUUACUGGGCGUAAAGCGCACGUAGGCGGCUAUUCAAGUCAGAGGUGAAAGCCUGGAGCUUAACUCCAGAACUGCCUUUGAAACUAGAUAGCUUGAACAUCGGAGAGGUAAGUGGAAUUCCGAGUGUAGAGGUGAAAUUCGUAGAUAUUCGGAAGAACACCAGUGGCGAAGGCGGCUUACUGGACGAUUGUUGACGCUGAGGUGCGAAAGCGUGGGGAGCAAACAGG